GGAGCUGCCUCAGGUCUGCCGGCUUCCUGGGGUGCCGCCGCUGGGCUGAGGUCCACCACAAUCAUUUCAUCUUUUUGUUGGUCACGCUGAGUCUUGAAGAAAUUCUUCUUUCUGCUUAUGGAAUGCAAAUUAGAGUGCGGACUUCCCAGCUAAUUACCCUUAUCCUGACUCCCAGAGAGCUGACUGCCUUUGCAACAACUUACAGAAUUCCUACCAAAAUACCAAAAUGACUCUAUACGAAGAAAAAUUGAUAGCAGAGCCGGAAACCAGAGAAGACUGCAUCUCCAAGCCUGAAGGAAUUUGGGGAGAUACUGUUCAGGGGUAUCAUUGCAGAAAAAUCAACAAACACAUGAGUUACAACAUGAGAAGAAAUUGAUUCCAGAUCUUGGAGUGAGUGGGGAAGACAAGACAGAACUACAGAGACAGAAGGAAGGAGAGUCUCGGCCUCGGCUGAGAUUAGAUUGAGAAAAUUUUCAAAGCUGAUUGUGCUCAGAUCUCAUCUCAGAGCAAUUAAGUCAUAAUUUUAGUAACUAGAGGGAAUCUAUACAUUGUAUAACCUUUUCAGGUGAUUUGAGUUGUAUGGAGAUGGUUAUGAGCCAUUGAUCUAGAAAGCAAAUAUCCAAUAUACCUGCAUUUCCUGGGAAGUACACAGCACCACUAAACAAAGCCCAGCUGUUACGCUCGCUCUCGGCUUAUACUUGACGUUGGCGGCAGGCUAAGGUGCUGAAGGCACUGCUGGAGAUGCUAUGAGGAGAGGUCACACGUAA